rnacentral:tRNA from 1 species
GACUCCGUAGCUCAGCCUGGUUAGAGCACUAGACUCUUAAUCUAGGUGUCGUGGGUUCAAAUCCCAUCGGGGUCA